rnacentral:rRNA from 1 species
GACGAACGCUGGCGGCGUGCCUAAUACAUGCAAGUCGAGCGAGCUGAAUUCAAAGAUUCCUUCGGGAUGAUUUGUUGGACGCUAGCGGCGGAUGGGUGAGUAACACGUGGGCAAUCUGCCCUAAAGACUGGGAUACCACUUGGAAACAGGUGCUAAUACCGGAUAACAACAUGAAUCGCAUGAUUCAAGUUUGAAAGGCGGCGCAAGCUGUCACUUUAGGAUGAGCCCGCGGCGCAUUAGCUAGUUGGUGGGGUAAAGGCCUACCAAGGCAAUGAUGCGUAGCCGAGUUGAGAGACUGAUCGGCCACAUUGGGACUGAGACACGGCCCAAACUCCUACGGGAGGCAGCAGUAGGGAAUCUUCCACAAUGGACGCAAGUCUGAUGGAGCAACGCCGCGUGAGUGAAGAAGGUUUUCGGAUCGUAAAGCUCUGUUGUUGGUGAAGAAGGAUAGAGGCAGUAACUGGUCUUUAUUUGACGGUAAUCAACCAGAAAGUCACGGCUAACUACGUGCCAGCAGCCGCGGUAAUACGUAGGUGGCAAGCGUUGUCCGGAUUUAUUGGGCGUAAAGCGAGCGCAGGCGGAAUGAUAAGUCUGAUGUGAAAGCCCACGGCUCAACCGUGGAACUGCAUCGGAAACUGUCAUUCUUGAGUGCAGAAGAGGAGAGUGGAACUCCAUGUGUAGCGGUGGAAUGCGUAGAUAUAUGGAAGAACACCAGUGGCGAAGGCGGCUCUCUGGUCUGCAACUGACGCUGAGGCUCGAAAGCAUGGGUAGCGAACAGG